rnacentral:lncRNA from 1 species
GAUGCUAUACCGACCCAUAACUCCAGGUUUCAGUUGAAGAAAAAUUAAAAAUUUAAAUACCAAAUGGUACUAGGUCCACAUUAACUCCAGGUUUCAGUUGAAGAAAAAUUAAAAAUUUUAAAUACCAAAUGGUACUAGGUCCACAUUCCCACCACACCCACCAGAAUUUAAAAUCAUGGUUCCCAUCAAGGAUUAUGAGCCCCCAACAUAGAAGACCUUUACAAAUCUUCACUUGCAACAUCAAAGGUUGUAUUUGUUCAAAGUAUUUGAAAUCAUAAUAAACUUUUUGCAGCACUGUUGACAUCACUUUCGAAUGGAAAAGUACACAUAAUCGAAUGGAAAUGUUCCUAAACAUUUCCCUUGUUGUCAUUACUAUAAUAGUUAACUAUGUUUUUUCCAACAGAACGU